rnacentral:miRNA from 1 species
UAAUCUCAUUCGGUAUGGACUGA